UACCCUUGUAGGAUUUCAACUUUACUACUGAGCAAACUUUAGAUUACAACCUAUUGUAACCGAGGGAUUAACCUCUUAAUCCCUCACUAACUUGUAACAACUCUAUUACAAGUCACUUUGUAAUAACUCUAUUACAAACACUUACAACUCGACUAACUUUAGUCAAGACACAAACACACGGGUUUAUGAUUUACAAAGGUUUCCUACACAAUGCUUCUAACUAAGCUAAGUAGGAAUUACAAGUAAAGAACUUUAACAAAGGUACAACAUAACUAGGUACAUGUAAUGACUCAAUAUGUAAAACUGGUCCUUCGUUAUGUUGUUCUUUGUUCUUGAUGCCCUUAAGAAUCACUUGCAAGAUUGACAUAGACUUGAGAGAGUGUUUGAUUGAUUUGAAUGUGCAAGUGUUUUGUUUUACCUUUGCUUGAUGUAAAUAACUCAAUUAUGACAUCACUUGAAUGACGUAAGUAAUUUAGGUAAAAGGCAUUCCCCAUAAAGUUGACUGAUGUACUGUUUUUGCACUGUUGCAUGUGUAGGCAGCAACUUUACAACUGUAGAUCCAUCUGUUCCCCUUGUUGUUUCUUUGUCGUCUGAAGAGUUGAUUUACAUCUCCAGCUUGAGUCUUGUUGUUUUCACAUACUUGAGAAUGUGUAUCAGGUUCCUUAUCUGGUUUUUGUCAUUAAAUUUAUUAGAUCAUCAAAACAUAAUAAUAUACAUAUAGCCUAUCAAAUACAUAUAAGUGAAGAAUCCUAGUGUAACUACUACAAAUAAUAGAAGAGACUUGAUCAUUAUCGACCUCUAUCUAUGAUCCUUAUUAGUAUCUUCAACACUUCCUCUCAGGCUAGUGUAGGAAGGAACAUCCACUCCUAGCUUUCUUUAGAAAACUGCAAAGUGUUCCUUAGACAGUGCCUAGGUAUGAAUCUCAGCCAUAUGAUCCUUUGAUCAAACAAAAUGUGUGACAAGUUGUCCAUUAGCUACCUUCUCUCUUAUAGAAUUCAUAAUCCAUAUCUACAUGUUUUGUUGUAUCAUGUAAGACUGGAUUUACUGUCAUGUACAAUGCACUGAGAUUGUCACAGAACAACACUGGAUCUCUCUUUAAGUACAAACCAAUAUCUCUAAGAAUAUAAGUUAUCCAAGUAACUUCAGUUGCAGUUGAGGCCAAUGCCCUGUAUUCGAAUAUCGAGGUUUAUAUCUUGGGGUACUUUUUACAUGCCAUGUAUUUUUUUUAUGUUCUACUUGUUACAUGACUACUUGAGCAUAUCUCCCAUGCUCGUACAAUGUUACAGAUAUCCUUCACAUACUAGUUUAAUAUUAUAGUUGAUAAAUAUGUCGGAUUACAUAUAGGACAUGCACCAAAUAAAUGCAUUCGCAUUUGUAUAUGUGAUUCACACCUUUUUAUGGUUAUGGCACGUUGAGUCUGUGUGGUUUAUGGUAUGCAUGUGAAUUGGGCAUGCACUUAGCACAUUGAGUUUUCCAUACAGGUUUUAAUAUGUAUGUGAAUUCGUGGUGUGAUUUAGCACCGUAAGUUGUUCGUAUAUUUAUAAUAUUACGUGUGGAUAUGGAUCCAUCCCUCAUAAUUCAAUGUAACAUUGAACCACUGGUAGUCUAUGUGCAAGUUUGAUUUGACACUUGGAGAGUGUCAGUUUGAUGUAAUAUUUGAGUCUUCUUCAUGCAUAGACAUUUAGAGGCUCUAGUAGUUGCAAUUCAUAUAAAUAUUGAGUUACAUUUUAUUUAGGGUAUUCGAUACGUGCAUUGGACUUGCAUAGUUGAGAUAUGAUACAUCAUGUCACAUACUCUAUUUGUUCAUAACAUUAUAUACUUGACGGUGUAUAAAGUGAUUAUAUUAUUUAUGUGCCUUUCUGUGCACAAUGUAUCUCAAGUUUUAGGACUCGAAAUUUGAUGAUUCAAAAAUGAGGUGAAAGAUGACGAUAUGAACUAUAAGAAAGACUAUUUACUUGUUCAAAACAAGUAAAUAUUGAUGCUGCACCAAUUCAAUGAAAGUUAUGGUUCUGUGAUAUCAAAAGAACGAAUUUAGAUCAAGAAAUGUGUUCUUGAAAGAUCAAGAACUAAACAAGUUCCUAACAUCACCACUUGGAAUCAAUUAACGUGAUAAAGAAAUACCACACACAAUUGAAAACAAGAUAAAGACUAUCACCACCUUGCUUGUAACCAAAAAUAAGGAUAAAGAAAACAAAAUAGAGAAAAUCACUUUAUUGUAAAACUAGGGCAAGCCUCAAGGAAUUCUUUUCUACAAGGCAAGAGAACCCUUUAUAUAAGCCUAGAGUCUCUUCUUUGAUGACUACAAUUCCUAUUCUAAUAAGGAAAUAAAAUAACUAAAGAUAAGAAAAGUAAAAUCUCUAUUAUACAAGGAAAAGAAACUAGAAUCCUACUAAAAGGAAAAUCCUUAUUCUAAAAGGAAUAAAAUAAAUCCUAAUUUAAGAAGGAAAGAAUCUUGGCUUCCUGAAAUCAAUCUUGAGCUUCUUGGACUUCUUGUGCUUCUUGAAAAUAAGUCCAUAUGUUUGGACUUGAGCUCUAAAACAUGAUCUUGGCCAAAAUUAACAAAAUUUAACAUAGAUUCUUCUUUUACAUCAUUCUCCCCUAAUUGAGAAAGACUCGUCCUCGAGUCUAAAGGCUCCACAAAUGGCACAAGAUUGGAAACUUCCAUGAUUUGGUUGAACUCAUAUGCACCAGGCUCUAAGUUCUAUUUUUCUAACUUGUCGAAGAGCUUCAUCAUAUUGUAACAAAGUAUAGCAUGUGGCCGAACUAAAUCCCAUUUUCUCAAUCGUAUCUUUUUACCAAUAUUUCUGCAAUGAAUCCUCUUAAAUCGAUUUUUAAACACUAACCCAUAGCCACAAGUUAUUUUCUUUUGAUCUUCAAGAAUCCUGAACUUCCCUAUGUCAAUGUGGUACUUAUGGGAUAUGCCCAGAAAAAGUUGAUUUAGUACCACAAAAACCCUUAGAAGAAUAAAAUUCAAGUACCUUUGGAUGAGGCUUGGAGAUUGAAGUAUAUCUUCUUGAGAAUUCAUCAACAACAACGCUCUCAUAUUUAACUAGAUCAUAACCAUUGAUAGAAUUUGUGUUAAGAUUUCUUGUUCCUACAUAUGCUUGAAAAUAUUCAUUCUUUGGAGGCACUAAAAAAGCUGGAACAAAAUCUGAACUCAAAUCCUCGAUUAUAGACUCCUUUUAAGCAACCCUUCCUCUUGUGUUUGUAAAAUUUUAUGGACUUUUGGAUUAAUGCAACAUGCUGCCUCAUUUGGAAGGAUGGAAUCAGCAAUCAAAUUAAUAUUAUGUUGAGCAUCUCUAUUUAUUGGAAAGUUAAGCUCACAUAUAGGAUGCUCUAACGAAUCAUCUUCAAACUUCGGAGGUAAAUCAUCAACUUGUAGAUCCAGUUCAUGUUCCUCCUCCUUGAUUGGACUUCAAAGAUUUUUUUCUAUUGAUUGGACCAAUUGUUUGUAAUUUGGUCAGAAAAGAAUCAUCAUUGAGCUUUAGAUUUUUAGCAAUUUCUUCGGGAUUCAACGAUAAUAAAAUAAUCUUAUGUUCAUCAUUUGUAAAAGAUAGGUGUUAAGGUCUUCAUCAUAUUUAGCACACCUAUCAUACACCCAUGGUCUUCCAAGUAAUAAGUGACAAGCAUCCAUCUUCACUACGUCAUAUCAAAUAUGGUCUUUAUAGAUCUUACCAAUAAAAAAUGAUAUUAGGCAUUGACGAGUUACCUCUAAACCAUCACUAUCUUGAACUUCGAUGCUAUAAGGAUAUGGAUGAAUUUUGGUUGACAAGCCGAGUUUAGUGAUCAUCUCUUCAUAAACGAUAUUUAUAUGACUCCCACGAUUAAUAAUCAACGAACAAACUUUUCCAUGGGAGGUACAUCAAGUGCGUAAAAGAGAUUCAUGUUGUCUUGUUUCUUCAUCUUCUUGAACCAAGAAUUUUCCUCUUGGUAGAAUAUUAGACAUGAUUUCUCAGUCUUUAGAACUGUAGGUUAUAGCUCUGAUACCAAAUUGAUGUGAUAAAUUCAUCGACCUGGGACCUAUGGAUUAUAGUUCUGAUACCAAAUUGAUGUGAUUCUUCGAGUUAACAAAGAACCAACCGACCAGGAUCAAGAUCUUGAAACAAAAACGUGAUUUGUGGGCCAAUUUCAAGAAAUUACGUAUCUCAAGUUUUAGGACUCGAAAUCUGAUGAUUCAAAAAUGAGGUGAAAGAUGACGAUCUGAACUAUAAGAAAGACUAUUUACUUGUUCAAAAUAAGUAAAUAUGGAUGUUGCACCAGUUCAAUGAAACCUAUGGUUUUAUGAUAUCAAAAGAAUGAAUUUAGAUCAAGAAAUGUGUUCUUGAAAAAUCAAGAACUAAACAAGUUCCUAACGUCACCACUUGGAAUCAAUUAACGUGAUAAAGAAACACCACACGCAAUUGAAAACAAGAUAAAGAUUAUUACCACCUUGCUUGGAACCAAAAAUAAGGAUAAAGACGACAAAAUAGAGAAAAAUACUUUAUUGUAAAACUAGGGCAAGCCUCAAGGAAUUCUUUUCUACAAGGCAAGAGAACCUUUUAUAUAGGCCUAGAGUCUCUUCUUUGAUGACUACAAUUCCUAUUCUAAUAAGGAAAUAAAAUAGCUAAAGACAAGAAAAGUAAAAUCCCUAUUCUACAAGGAAAAGAUACUAAAAGGAAACUCCUUAUUCUAAAAGGAAUAAAAUAAAUCAUAUUUUAAGAAGGAAAGAAUCUUGGCUUCCUGAAAUCAAUCUUGAGCUUCUUGGACUUCUUGCGCUUCUUGAAAAUAAAUCCAUAUAUUUGGACUUGAGCUCUAAAACAUGAUCUUGGCCAAAAUUAAUAAAAUUUAACAUAGAUUCUUCUUUACAUAAUAUGAUAAAUGCACAGGUUUAUGAAGUGAGUAUCUUCCGAUAUCAAUCCUUUCCACUUCCUUAUUAGGGAUGAUCGAUAAUGCUUAUUUAUUUUACGUUGGUGUACGCAUAGUAUACUUUUGCACCCUAUGUGUAGACAUGAAUUUAAGUUGUUGUGUAGAUCAUGUGCGGGCAUUGAAGAUCUACCAGUGUCCCAAUAUGGAGUUUUCAGCUAGUUCUGUAACAACCCAGCUGAUCGUUUUGUGUAUUUGAGCCUUGUUCUCCUAUUUAUAUAUUUGUACGCAUAUGACUAUUGAUUGACUCAUUUUGUGAUUACGAAAAAUGGAGUUAACUGAUAUUGUGCCAUCAUCAUUUUUUGAGCACGUAUUUGUCGCUUAGACUCAUCCGGUGGCUCUUAUAUUAUGUGUGAACGUUGAUUGACUCGUAUCAUGAUAUUGAAGGAACUAAGAUAAUUGAUAUUGUAUUCUAUAUCUUUGUUUGAAAAGCAUGUCUAAAUUCCAGUUUUUACUGAGUUUCUAUUGGCAGACUCAUUUGAUGAUAUCAUGCCCUAUUCCAUGUUUCAUAUAUGCUUAUUGAGCUGUUAGUAGGUGUCGAUGCUGACCUCUUGCCACUACAUCUUCAAGGUUAGACUUAAUACUUAUUAAGUACCGUAGUUUUGUACUCAUACUAUACUUCUACAUAUUUUGUGCAGGUUCUGAGACUGGUAUUUGCGGUUCCAUUGAGCUGAGUAGGAGUGUGUUAUUGUAGACUUCGUGGUGAGCUGCUUUUCUAUUUAUGUAUUUCUUUUCCGGACAUAUGUUAAUUCAGUUGAAACUUGUUACUCUUAUUAGAUGCUCGUGAUGUAGUGACACCGAGUUUUGGGCAUUGUUAGGCAAUUGUGGUCGUGUUUAUACCUUUACAUUGAUUAUGUAUUUAUGAUCUUGAAUUGAAAUUUUUUCCGCAUUGUUAUUUAUAUCAUGAAAUAAUAAAGGCUUAAUAAUUGGAAGUUUUUGUUGCCGUUGAGUGUUGACCUGCCUUGCGAGCAGAUUAUGCGCCAUCACGACCUUUGGUGAAAUUUCGUGUCACGACCCAAAAUUUCACCAAGUCGUGAUAUCACCUAACCCAACCGUUAAGGUAAACCAAAUAGUAUAAGUUACAAUUAUAAUGAAAAAUCAUCAAUAUUAAUAUUAAAUACUACAAGAAAUUCACAACUAUCCCAGGAUUGGUAGUACAAGUCAUGAGUCACUAUGAUUUUGAUUUAUGAAAUUAAUGUGAAGAAUAAAUACAAUAUCUGUUUGAAGUUUACAUAAACAGAAAUGAAGUCCUAAACUACCACAAACAAGAGGUACCUUGAAUCUGCAAUGCUUGUAUAUGUUCAAUGUAAGGCUCCGUCUUCCACAAAUACUCAGCUCUAGAAUCUGCACGCAUGAUGCAGAAAUAUAGUAUGAGUACAACCGAUCUCAUGUAAUCAGUAAGUAUCUUGACUAACCUUAGUGAAGUAGUGACGAGGUUUUUAAGUCAAAAAAUACUCACUUUGCAUAAAUUGUGCAGCUCAAUAACAUAUAUAAUACAGAGAAAUAUUCCAGAAAAGACAAUUACAGAAUAAAGGAUAUCAACAAUAAACGUGCAAAACUGGGGUAGGGAUAACAAACAAACUCUCCCAAUUAAACAAUUCAAGGAUAUACAAUGUGCACUAAACCCGCUUGCAAGGGGACAUGCACCAAAUAAUGUGUAUGCUCAAUUUCUCAUACAUGACUGUAAGCAUGUGCCCAAUAUGAUGCAAAUCUGUAUUACUUUCCAAAUAACAUGUUCAGGUGAACCUUACAAGAAUCCAAUACAUUAAUGCAUGAUGACAAAUUUCCUUUUUACAUCAAUCUAAUAUGCUACCGACAACUCAAUAAAUAUGAGAUAUUAUCUCAACACAGGUAAAUCCAUCUUGACAACCAAACCGUCAAAUAAUAAUAGAAGCAUAGGAAAGCAUGUUAGAUGCAACAAAGACAACACGUAUAAUGCAUGAUAAAGCAUAAAGAAUUCACUUGUAUAAUCAAGAAUGACACCCCCAUAAUCCAUAUUUCAUCACAAUAAUAAUAUCCACUCUUAUCGCUCUGUAAUAUCAAUAUCCACUUGUAUCUCUCUAUAAUAACAAUAUUCACCCUUAUCACUCUGCAAUAACAAUAUCCAACCUUAUCGUUCUGUAGCAACAAUAUCCACCCUUAUCGCUUCGUAGCAACAAUAUCAAUCAUAAUCGCACAGCAAAACCUCGUGCCAACAUCCAAUCAAUCCGUCCAAUAUGUCCAUGUGUGCUAUAAUCAUAAUAAUUCAACAAAUUAUCAUCAAGAGAUAUAUCCUCAUAAUUCAUUAAUGAAGUACAUAAGGACAUGAAAAUAAUAAAAGUGUCGAUGAGUGCUCAAGAUAUAAGACAUGACUAUAGCUAAUUCAAUUAGCAAUGAUUCCACAAAUGCCCGUCUUGCAUAAUUAGGAAAUAAAAAUCCUAAAACAUGAACUCUAGCAUGAAAGGAUAAACCCGUAUAGUCAUACAAAGGAUCACAUUUAUAAUAUAGAGAGCACACAUUCAAUUCAAAGCACAACAAAAAAAUAACAAGUACGGGUAUGUGUUCAUAACAUACAUGUGACUAAGCCGAGGAAUGUAUAGCAUCAAUCUCAAGAUUAGUUCAUCAUGUUCAAAAUAAGGCACCAAUAGCCUUAACAUUAGCUCUAGGGAGGUUUAUUAUGCUCACAUAGUUAAUUAAUUGAAUAACACAGAGAAUCAAGUAGAACAUACAACCCAUAAAGGCAUAGAGUUAUCUAGAAUUCACCCCGAGCAUGAAUACCCAUAGCACAUGUAUAUACGCUCAUCACCUCGUAUAUACAUCAGCCCUGCAUGUAACAAACAAUAUAAAUUAUUAGGAAAAUUCCCUCAAUCAAAGCUAGAUAAGACACUUAUCUCAUCGGGCUAGUCCAAAGCUCCAAAAGUGUUUUUCCUUGAGAAAUCAACUCUAACCGUCUCAAAUCUAGCCAAACAUGUAAUACCCUAUAUUUAAAUUAGGGCAUAUUAGUCGUUAAGUAUUUUUCUUUAAAAAAAUAUAUAAUUACAAAGAGAAUGGGAAAGCCCACUAUGAAGGAUUAAACAAGAAAGGAAGAGGGGAUUAAGAAGGGGGAAAAUGCACCCAAAAGCUUCUUCCGCAACUAAACAUAGAUAGUAUCAAGAUUUAAACCCAUCAAAUAAUUGAAAUAGAGUAGCAAGAAGCUUUGAAGCUUCAGUUAAUUGUGGUAAGUCUCUCAGCUAAAGAGGGGUAAGUUCUCUACGGUUUUGUUUCUCUUGUUCUCUGAUUUAUGGAAUUCCAUAGGGUACCGGAAAAAAGAAUACUAUAGGCAGUGGUUCGAUUUGCUUUGGACUUAUGCACAAAUUGAGUAUCAUGUGGUGUUAAGAAUCAGAUGAAUAUAUUAUAUGAAAGGGUAGAGACAAGAAGAGGAACUUAAGAUGUUUU
rnacentral:lncRNA from 1 species